CCCUUUUCCAGAAUAGACCUGCGCCGUUACAGAUCGGACCUGCUAAAAACAUCUGUUUUGGUUCUGAUUAUCAUGUUUGUCGCGCUGAAAUCAUGCGUUUUAACGCAUACGAGUUUAAAUUUCUGAUAAAUGGUUUUCUGAGCGUGCACAGCCAAAGCGCACGGACAGAAAGCGGCCACCACACAGCAUGUGACACUAUAGUAGCGCAGAGACUGCCUACAGAACCUUCAAUGCACGCUGGAGACAUGAAACCCGCAAGAAGAUCUCAGUGCUUGUUGACAACAGCAUGCAGAUUUAUAAAUGAUUCUUAUUACUAAUUUGGGAAGAUGUUUGUUGCACCUAUCACAUUGUCACAUGCCUUUAAAAAUGCAUAAAAAAAAAUAAUAAUAAUAAAAAAAUAAACCAAC
ensembl:lncRNA